rnacentral:rRNA from 1 species
UACGUAGGGUGCGAGCGUUAAUCGGAAUUACUGGGCGUAAAGCGUGCGCAGGCGGUUCGUUAAGUCAGCUGUGAAAGCCCCGGGCUCAACCUGGGAACGGCGGUUGAAACUGGCGAACUAGAAUCUGGCAGAGGGGGGUGGAAUUCCACGUGUAGCAGUGAAAUGCGUAGAGAUGUGGAGGAACACCGAUGGCGAAGGCAGCCCCCUGGGCUGAGAUUGACGCUCAGGCACGAAAGCGUGGGGAGCAAACAGG